UUGACUGGGUAAUUAACCCAGACUAUCACCGCCAGUCUGCGGCACAGCUUGGUUUCUUGCUCAUGUCACUUAACCAUGCACUACUACUGAAAAGCUGCUACAAAUCCUAUGCUUACCUGACCACAGGGCUUCCAUCCUGCAUCACAAUUGUCCCUUCAGGCACCUGCUUCUGUCACCAGGCUGUGAGGCGAUGAGGGCGGAUACCUGAUUUGUAUCCCGCACCCACCCUCAGCUCAGGCCUAAGGGCUGAAUACAGGAGAAGUUAGGACGGACUAGGGUCCUGGCUUAUCGAUGCCGAUAGGCCUGGAUUCCAGCUGGGCUACGACUGAGAAAGGGGCACAGGAAACUCCUGGAAGGGCAGGGAGCCCCCAGGGCCUCAGCUCUGGUUGAUGGGCCAAGGCCAUCUCUAGGUAGACUGAACUUCAGGGCCCCACUGAGGAAUCUGUACCAGCACAGGACCCCAGCCUUGUGUUCAGCCAAUAACGAUCAGCAGCACCCGUGGGCCCCCCAUCCAGACAUUCAUAAACACCCAGCAGAAGGCAGAAGUGACAUACCAGCUGCCUGUUCUCAGCCUGUCCAGAGCCACCACUGUUGACUGGUCAAGGGAAUCCAGGAGAGUGUGCACACAGCUAAACCACAUGGACCCUCUGGUCCUUUGCACACAGAGCGGCCAUGGAUCAGAGCCUCCCAUACCUCCCUCGGGCCCCUUGCUAAAUCUAUAGGCCCAGCUGCUCACAGUGCUGGAUGGAAAGCCCAAGAUCAAGGCACUGACAGAUUUGAUAUCUCAGAGGGCUGGUCUCUCUGUCUCCAAGGUGUCUUCUUGCAUUGUCUUCACCUGACAAGAGGCAGAAAGGCAAAGGGACCAGCUCCCUUCCUCAAACCUACUUUCAACCCACUCUCCAGGCCAGGCCCCUCCUGACCCAGUCACCUCCCAGAGACUCCACCUCUUAGGAUCACUGCAUUGGAUAUGCGUUUCAACAUGUUUAAACAUCAACAAAACAUGCAAACAAUAGCACAGCCCCAUUCCAGAGUGCUUGGGAAUAGCUGCCUCCUUUAUCCCAGCACCCAGGGAGCUUAGGAGAGCUCUGCCUCUGGAACCACUCUGGACCUGGAGACAUACAAUCUCUGCUUAAGUGACAAGCUGGGGUUUGGGGGAGCUCACAGCUUUCUGGGAUGGAUGGGAGCCUCCAGGUGUGCCAUCCUCCUGCUGUAGCAAGAAGGCUUUAUGCUAAACACUUCACCUGGAGUGUGAAAUGAGGCUCCUUUUAAAUCAAACUAGACUAAGAACACCCCGAUGCUUGCAUUCUUACGUAGGAAGCUGCAACCUCAAAAUGCUGAUGCCCUGAGAGCUUAACCCAGGAAUUUGCCUUUGUAACAAACAGCUGAGCCUCCGCAAUCCCAGCAGGUGUACCAGUCGGUCCCAAGUGGCCAACUGUUCAUACCUGCUCAGGUGAGGUAGACCCUGGGCUGUAACAACUCCACCCACGCCCGCUCCUCACUUCCAUUUCCUGAACAGCACUUCUCCUUUUCGGUCUAUAAAUGUUAUCCCGCCCUGUGACAGCCUUAGGGCCUUUACGCACCCCUUCUGGGUUCUGAGUCUUCCUGGUUCACAAAUUGCUCUUUGUUCAAUUAAACUUUUAAAUUUAGCUUCAAGUUUUUCUUUUUGAAAAG
ensembl:lincRNA